rnacentral:rRNA from 1 species
UAAUACGGAGGGUGCAAGCGUUAUCCGGAUUCACUGGGUUUAAAGGGUGCGUAGGUGGAUUAGUAAGUCAGUGGUGAAAUCUCCGGGCUUAACCCGGAAACUGCCAUUGAUACUAUUAGUCUUGAAUACCGUGGAGGUCAGCGGAAUAUGUCAUGUAGCGGUGAAAUGCUUAGAUAUGACAUAGAACACCAAUUGCGAAGGCAGCUGGCUACACGAGCAUUGACACUCAGGCACGAAAGCGUGGGGAUCAAACAGGAUUAGAUACCCUGGUAGUCCACGCCCUAAACUAUGGAUACUCGACAUACGCGAUACACUGUGUGUGUCUGAGCGAAAGCAUUAAGUAUCCCACCUGGGAAGUACGAUCGCAAGAUUG